ensembl:lncRNA
GGGGGCCCAGCGGGUUGAGCGCACAAAGCCCGGCGCGGCGGCGCUGCUUCCCAUUCACCGCCGCCGGGCUCCUUCCACCCCGCGCUUCUCCAACGCCUCCGAGGCGGAUCGCCGGCGGCUCGCGGCCAGGCACAGGAAAUGACCUCAGCGGGCUCCAGCCUCCCACCUCUCUGUACCGCGGGACGCUCGCAGGAUGGGGGACACCACCAGAUCCUCCCCUGAAGAAGGUUCCAGCGUUUGUCCGCCACCUGUAAGAAGGUAGCGCCCAGGUGGAUAUUGGGAGCAGAAGUCCUUGUUUCACAAGGAGAAGGCCAGGGAUCAAGAAAGCCAAGCAGGACACCCAUCAGCGAGUCCUUGUAGUUCAGGAGUUUGCCAUCCCUCCGCUCACCCACUAUAGUCGCACAUCCCGGGGGAUUGGUUAGGUUGGUAGAGGGUAGGAAGAUGCAAAUGAACGACUUCGGGGACGGAGCUUCCCUGGCUAAGGUGUAGCUCGUAGGUAGAGUGUGUAAUUAGCUUGCACCAAGCCCUGAGCGCCAACCCCAGCACCAACACAACAAGAGAGGAAGAGAAAGAAAGAAGAAAAUAGUGCUUUCUUCCCAACUCCAGCACAGUCUUUCAGUCAAGGUCUGAACAAAAGCAAACCAGUACCAGGGCCUGUUUCUCCGCGAAGGUGUUGGAAGACUCACUGGAGUACCCGGGAAAAGUCCCUGGCCCCACCCCCAGGUUUGAAUCAGACCCUCGCGGGGCAGGCCUGGGAAAUUGCCCUUUGAACAAGCUCCCCAGGUGGAUUCUCUUGCACAAUUUUGAGAGCCAAGACACUAAGGAGAGCUGUCACGCUGGGCCAACUGGACUCCAAAGGCUGAAUUUAAACUUGUAAAUGGCUUUAUAGCUCAAAGAGAUUGAGACAGAUCGAUCCCUUUCUGUGGGACAGUGGCCUCUGCUGUCCCCUUCAACAGUCCAGAAGUUGCCAAAGGAAGCCCAAAAGCAAAUCCUCUGGAUUUUGCAAAGAGGAGAUUCAUUCAUUCAUUCAUUCGUUCACUGUGAGCAAUGCACAUGGUAUAAAUUUCAAUAAUACACAAAGCUAACACUGAAAAAUAAGUCUCCUUCCCAUCCUGCCCCCUCAUGGGUGUUCCCCAGAUCACCCAUGUCAAAGACAACUACUGUUAAAAUUUUGCAUGUGUAGCUUUUCAAGAUAUUUUAGACAUACAUAAGAAUUUAUAUAUUCAGGGUAUAUAAAUAUACCUAUCUGUAUGUAUGUAUUCACUUCCCACCUUUUUUUUGAUACCGGGGAUCAAACUCAGGUCCUUGCACUUGCAAGGCAGGUGCGGUGCUGCUGAGCUAAAUCCCUGGCCCUUCACUUCCACUUUUUAUUUCUUUUAACAGUAUCUGUUGUCUCUUAAUCGGCACAUUAGCACACCUAGAGCGGCCUUGACUUUUUAAUGGUUUCUUAAUAUUUGUAAUAAUGAGUAUUUAAGAUGCUUCCAACCUUUGCCUGACUGCAAUUAAUGCCUUUGUACAUACUUCUUGGUCUAUAUGUGCGACUAUCCAUAUGAUUUAAUACUUUAAAACAGAUUACUGAAGGGCCGGGGAUUCAGCUCAGUGGUUUCGCCGUCUGCUGCGCAAGCGCAAGGACCUGAGUUCGAUCCCCGGUACCAAAAAAAUAAUAAUAAAACAGAUCACUGAGCCAGUCAUGGUGGCCCACACUUAUAAUUCCAGCACUAUAGGAAACUGAGGCAGGACGAUCACAAGUUUGAGCCCAGUCUGGGCACUUUAGUGGCUCAAUGAGACCCUGUCUCAAAAUUUUAAAAGGGUCUGGACAUAGUUCAGUGCAAAGGUCCUGAGUUCAGUUCCCAAUACUGAACACACACACACACACAUACAGCAUGAAGAAAAGAGAUUGCUGCCUCUAAGCACAGUGCAAAUUUCAAAUUUCAAAAGCUAUUGCCAAGUGGCCCUCAAAGGAAACUACCAACCCAUAUUUGUAUCAAUAUAUUCCAGUGCCCCUUCCUUCCCUCCAGCCUGGGCCAGUGGCAUGAUUUAUCCCCAAAUACUAACUUUUUAAAAGGAAAAACUAAACAAACUAGUGUGUGUAAGGAUUUUAUUUUAUUCUAUUCUAUUUUAUGUAUUUAUUUAUAUUUGCAGUAGUGGGAAUUAAACCCAGGGCCAGAUGGGCUGGGGAUUUAGCUCAGUGGUUCCAGCACCUGCCUUGAAAGCACAAGGUCCUGAGUUCAAUCCCCAGUACCAAAAGAAAAAAAAAACAACCCAGGGCCAGCUAUAUCCCCAGCCCUUUUUAAUCCUUUUUUUAUAUUGAGACAAAUUCUCCCUAGAC